rnacentral:tRNA from 3 species
UAUCCGCAGUGUUUGGGCACAAAGAACUUUGACUUCUUAAGAGAGACCUAAAUCUCCUUAUAA